AUGCCGUUGUCGGCAACGGGAACGGCACAGCUCUGCGGCAGCGGCAGCAACUACACCACCAACAGCACCUAUCAGUCGAACCUCGCCGCCCUUGCCGCCACCCUCCCCACUAAUGCCUCCUCCUCCCGUCAGCAAUUUGCCGCCGCCACCGUUGGACAAGUACCUGAUGCGGUGCACGCGCUCGCGCUCUGCCGCGGCGACUUCGCCAACGACACGGCAUGUGCGGACUGUGUUGCCGCCUCAUUCCAGCACGCACAGCAGACAUGCCCCAACGACGAGGCCGCCACCGUCUACUACGACUAUGAUGACGUAAACAAUCAGAGCGAUUUCCUCAGCCCAGCGGCCGGUCUCACCGAGAACGGUACGCUCUUCGAGGCAUGGAAUCCGGGGAACAUCUCCGCGGACGCCACCAUCACCGCCGCAGACGUCCACAACCUGCUGACUGUGACAGCCCAGGACUCGGCCGCCGACACGGCGAGGCGGUACUCCACAGCGGUGAUGGAUGCCGUGCCAACGCUCUACUCCCUCACACAGUGCACGCCGGACCUGUCCGCCGGUGAUUGCCUGGUUUGCCUCCAGCGGCUUAUCGGCAUGGUCAACGCCACCACGUCCGUGCGCCAGGGAGGACGGAUCUUCGUCCUGCGCUGCAACAUCAGGUUCGAGACGUUUAUGUUCUUCGACCAGCCUAUGCGGCGGAUCAAUCCAUCCUCCAUCACUCAGGCUCCACCAGGCAAGAGAAUCAAACCUUGGAUAAUUGCAAUAUGUGUGUCUUCUGCUGUGGCACUUGCUGCUUUCUGCUUCAUGGUUUAUCGUCGUUGCCUCAGAGGAAGGAUAAGAAAACGUGCAGUGAGAUUGCGAGAAAGGCGCACUAAUAAGUUGCACGGAGGGGAUCAUGAACUAGUAUGGGAUAUGGAAACAGGAAUGUUAUCAGGGUUUUCGUUUUUUGAGUUUGAUCAGAUACAGGAGGCCACGAGUAACUUUUCUGAAGAAAAUAAACUUGGAGAAGGCGGGUUUGGCCCUGUAUACAAGGGACAUUUUCUUCAUGGAAUGGAGAUAGCAGUUAAGAGGCUUGCUUCACAUUCAGGACAAGGUUUGGUGGAGUUCAAAAAUGAAGUUCAGCUCAUAGCCAAGCUUCAACAUAGGAAUUUGGUGAGACUGUUGGGAUGUUGCUCUCAAGGAGAGGAAAAGAUACUGGUCUAUGAAUACAUGGCGAACAAAAGCUUGGACUUCUUCAUAUUUGAUGAACACAGAAAAGCUUUAAUGGAUUGGAACAAACAUCUAACAAUAAUUGAAGGAAUAGCAGAAGGCCUUCUUUAUCUACAUAAGCACUCUUGUCUGCGUGUUAUACAUCGAGAUCUUAAGCCAAGCAACAUUCUCUUGGACAAUGAAAUGAAUCCUAAAAUUUCGGAUUUUGGACUAGCAAAAAUAUUCAGCCCAAAUAACAACGAGGAAAACAGUACGAGAAGAGUAGUUGGUACAUAUGGUUACAUGGCUCCCGAGUAUGCUUCUGAGGGCCUUUUCUCUAUCAAAUCCGAUGUAUUCAGCUUUGGUGUUUUAGUUCUCGAGAUCCUUAGCGGGAAAAGGAAUUCCGGUAGCCAUCAAUGUGGUGAUUUCAUUAAUCUCCUCGGAUAUGCUUGGCAGUUAUGGGAAGAUAGAAGAUGGAUUGAUAUUGUUGAUGCAUCACUUAAUUCAUUUCUUCCAAAGACUCACCCAACAGAAAUUAUGAGGUGCAUUAACAUUGCACUACUAUGUGUACAAGAGAAUGCAAUAGAUCGACCAAACAUGUUGGAUGUUACUGCAAUGCUAAGCAGCAAGACAAUGAUCCUACGUGAGCCUAAGCACCCACCGUAUUUCAAUCUAAGGGUAGGCAAUGAAGAGGAUAUUUCUGCUACACAAUCGUGCAGUAUAAAUGGUGUUACGCUAUCUAUAGCAACUGCUCGAUAG
rnacentral:rRNA from 1 species